UACGAGGGGAGCUAGCGUUAUUCGGAAUUACUGGGCGUAAAGCGCGCGUAGGCGGUUUUUUAAGUCAGGGGUGAAAGCCCGGAGCUCAACUCCGGAAUAGCCUUUGAAACUGGAAAGCUUGAAUCUUGGAGAGGUCAGUGGAAUUCCGAGUGUAGAGGUGAAAUUCGUAGAUAUUCGGAAGAACACCAGUGGCGAAGGCGACUGACUGGACAAGUAUUGACGCUGAGGUGCGAAAGCGUGGGGAGCAAACAGG
rnacentral:rRNA from 1 species